GCAACGAGCGCAACCCUUAUUGCUAGUUACCAUCAUUAAGUUGGGGACUCUAGCGAGACUGCCAGUGAUAAAACUGGGAGGAAGGUGGGGAUGACGUCAAAUCAUCAUGCCCCUUAUGACCUGGGCUACAAACGUGAUACAAUGGCUGAAACAAAGGGCAGCGAAGGAGCGAUCUGGAGCGAAACCCAAAAAAGCCGUCUCAGUUCGGAUUGAAGUCUGCAACUCGACUUCAUGAAGUCGGAAUCGCUAGUAAUCGCGGAUCAGAACGCCGCGGUGAAUACGUUCUCGGGGUUU
rnacentral:rRNA from 1 species